UAGCUACGGGAGGCAGCAGUGAGGAAUAUUGGUCAAUGGACGAGAGCCUGAACCAGCCAAGUAGCGUGCAGGAAGACGGCCCUAUGGGUUGUAAACUGCUUUUAUGUGUGGAUAAAGUGAGCUACGUGUAGUUUAUUGCAGGUACCACAUGAAUAAGGACCGGCUAAUUCCGUGCCAGCAGCCGCGGUAAUGCUA
rnacentral:rRNA from 1 species